AGUCCAGACUGCAGGAAGCUGUUUGGCUAAUGAGGCCACACCCCUGCAACUUCCUGUUUGAGCAGGAAACUAAUAAACUUUAAGGAAGUAAGCUUCAGUUAAAGUGCUGCUCCCUGUGGACUCCAGCUUCAUGUGUGAAUAUCAAAUCUGGUGUUUCAUGUUGAAGACUAAUUAAAGGGAUUGUUUAAAAAACAAAAAGCCAAACUUCUGCAACUUCCUGGUUGAACAGAAAAAAAACCCAACUUUAAGGAAGUAGGCUUCUUGUGCUCUGGGUGGACUCCAAAACCAACACUUUUAACUUGUACCAGAAUGAAAGGGAAGGAUAUUUAGCCAGGAAGGGCCGUGCAGGAGCCCAGCGAGAUUCAGGCCCGUCAGAAACCCCGAGAUGUUUUCAUCCCUGCAAAACGCAACAAGCUGCACGAGGACCCAGAGUCUAGUGCAGUGGCAGCCAUCUGGAAAUUUGCACCACCACCACCACCACCACCAGCGUGACAUUUGUUUGGAUUUAAGUGAAUGUCAUGACAGCUGGAUUGAUCGGACUGCCGUGACAUUUCGUCAUCCGGGACCCUCGUGUCCCCUCCCUGAUGGCUUG